AGCAUGGCAGGCUGCAGGUCCCGAGCCCUGCCCCCUUGCCCCGCGGGGAGGUGGCUGAGGCCCAGCGAAAAUUCGAGCGCGGCGCCGGCGGGCCAUCACUGUUGGAGGACCCAGUGCACCCUCCGCAGCUGUUGGCCCGGGUGCUAAGCCUCUCACUGCCCAGGGCCGGCGGCGCCAGCCGACCGCUCAGAAUGCGGGGCGCGCCGAGCCCGCGCCCACCCGGAAGUCGCGCUGGACCUGCGAGCACCGCAGGCAGCCCAGGUUCCGGCCCGCGCCUCUCCCUCCACACCUCCCCGCCAGCAGAGGGAGCCCGCUCAGGCCUCAGCCAGCACAGGGAGGGGCUCCCACGGUGCAGCUGCGGGCUGAAGGGCUCCUCAAGCGCGGCCAGAGUGGGCUGAGGCCGAGGAGGCGCGGAGAGCCAGCGAGGGAUGCCAGCAAGCUGUCACCUCUCAGAAAUACAGGAAGAACAUCAAUAAUGUUCGAAGUUAUAAAUUGCGGAGGUCAGAAGUCAGAAAACAAGGUGUCUGCAGGACCAACCUCUCCUCUGGAUGCUCUAGGUGUUGAAAUUUCCAGGAUGCAAAACGAAGGGGCAAUUCAAAACAUUCAUCUCCACUUCUCAAAAACAUGGUCCCUGUCACCAUCCACCUCGACUUCAUGUAUCUUCUGCUUCUACCCGUGUAACAAGUACAUAUUGACUAGUACUUAAAACAACCUCAAAAUACGUAUAUUUUCUCAAAAAUAACUGCAAGAGUAAUGGGCAUUGAGAUAGAAGGUUCUUAUUCCUCUUUAUUUAAAUCUGUAAAGCAAAGUGGCAAAUUAAAACUGAGAUACUAUUAUAUUCAAUUCAUAACAUAAUUUGAUACAAAUGAAAACUUUUUUUACAAGGUAACAAAGUAACUGAAAAUGAGUAGAUCCAGCGCAAGUGAGACAAUGUAACCAUCUUGAGGCAUUAACCUAGGAGGCCACUGUUGUGAAAACAGAAAAUGUGAGGAACACGAGGAUUGACUUAA